GGUGCUAACGUCCGUAGUCAAGAGGAAAACAAUCCAGACCGCCAGCUAAGGCCCCAAAAUCAUAGUUAAGUGGGAAACGAUGUGGGAAGGCAUAGACAGCUAGGAGGUUGGCUUAGAAGCAGCCACCCUUUAAAGAAAGCGUAAUAGCUCACUAGUCGAGUCGGCCUGCGCGGAAGAUGUAACGGGGCUAAAACUAUGUGCCGAAGCUGCGGAUGUAUACUUUGUAUACGUGGUAGGGGAGCGUUCUGUAAGCCGAUGAAGGUGUGUUGAGAAGCAUGCUGGAGGUAUCAGAAGUGCGAAUGCUGACGUGAGUAACGACAAAACGGGUGAAAAACCCGUUCGCCGAAAGACCAAGGGUUCCAGUCCAACGUUAAUCGGGGCUGGGUGAGUCGACCCCUAAGGCGAGGCCGAAAGGCGUAGUCGAUGGGAAAAUGGUUAAUAUUCCAUUACUUCUGUGUAAUGCGAUGAGAGGACGGAGAAGGCUAAAUCAGCCUGGCGUUGGUUGUCCAGGUGAAAGGAUGUAGGCAUGUAUCUUAGGCAAAUCCGGGGUACUCUAUGCUGAGAUCUGAUAGCAAGCUGUACUUGUACAGCGAAGUGGUUGAUGCCAUGCUUCCAGGAAAAGUCUCUAAGCUUCAGUUACACAGGAAUCGUACCCGAAACCGACACAGGUGGUCAGGUCGAGUAGACCAAGGCGCUUGAGAGAACUCUGCUGAAGGAACUAGGCAAAAUGGUACCGUAACUUCGGGAGAAGGUACGCUGUUGUUGGUGAUGGAACUCGCUUCCUGAGCUGACGACAGCCGCAGAAACCAGGCCGCUGCAACUGUUUAUUAAAAACAUAGCACUCUGCAAACACGAAAGUGGACGUAUAGGGUGUGAUGCCUGCCCGGUGCUGGAAGGUUAAUUGAUGGGGUUAGCGUAAGCGAAGCUCUUGAUCGAAGCCCCAGUAAACGGCGGCCGUAACUAUAACGGUCCUAAGGUAGCGAAAUUCCUUGUCGGGUAAGUUCCGACCUGCACGAAUGGCAUAAUGAUGGCGGCGCUGUCUCCAGCAGAGGCUCAGUGAAAUCGAAAUCGCUGUGAAGAUGCAGUGUACCCGCGGCUAGACGGAAAGACCCCGUGAACCUUUACUGCAGCUUGACACUGAACUUUGACCUUACUUGUGUAGGAUAGGUGGGAGGCUUUGAAGCUGGAACGCUAGUUCCAGUGGAGCCGUCCUUGAAAUACCACCCUGGUAAUGUUGAGGUUCUAACUCUGUCCCGUGAUCCGGGACGAGGACCGUGUCUGGUGGGUAGUUUGACUGGGGCGGUCUCCUCCUAAAGAGUAACGGAGGAGUACGAAGGUGCGCUCAGCGUGGUCGGAAAUCACGCGUAGAGUAUAAAGGCAAAAGCGCGCUUAACUGCGAGACCCACAAGUCGAGCAGGUACGAAAGUAGGUCUUAGUGAUCCGGUGGUUCUGUAUGGAAGGGCCAUCGCUCAACGGAUAAAAGGUACUCUGGGGAUAACAGGCUGAUACCGCCCAAGAGUUCAUAUCGACGGCGGUGUUUGGCACCUCGAUGUCGGCUCAUCUCAUCCUGGGGCUGAAGCAGGUCCCAAGGGUAUGGCUGUUCGCCAUUUAAAGAGGUACGCGAGCUGGGUUUAGAACGUCGUGAGACAGUUCGGUCCCUAUCUACCGUGGGCGCUGGAAAUUUGAGAGGAUCUGCUCCUAGUACGAGAGGACCAGAGUGGACGAACCUCUGGUGUACCGGUUGUGACGCCAGUCGCAUCGCCGGGUAGCUAUGUUCGGAAGGGAUAACCGCUGAAAGCAUCUAAGCGGGAAGCCUACCUCAAGAUAAGAUUUCCCUAGGACUUUAUGUCCUCUAAAGAGCCGUUCGAGACUAGGACGUUGAUAGGUUGGAUGUGGAAGCAUAGUGAUAUGUGAAGCUGACCAAUACUAAUUGCUCGUGAGGCUUGACUAU
rnacentral:rRNA from 1 species